GAUGAACGCUGGCGGCGUGCCUAAUACAUGCAAGUCGAGCGAACGGACGAGAAGCUUGCUUCUCUGAUGUUAGCGGCGGACGGGUGAGUAACACGUGGAUAACCUACCUAUAAGACUGGGAUAACUUCGGGAAACCGGAGCUAAUACCGGAUAAUAUUUUGAACCGCAUGGUUCAAAAGUGAAAGACGGUCUUGCUGUCACUUAUAGAUGGAUCCGCGCUGCAUUAGCUAGUUGGUAAGGUAACGGCUUACCAAGGCAACGAUGCAUAGCCGACCUGAGAGGGUGAUCGGCCACACUGGAACUGAGACACGGUCCAGACUCCUACGGGAGGCAGCAGUAGGGAAUCUUCCGCAAUGGGCGAAAGCCUGACGGAGCAACGCCGCGUGAGUGAUGAAGGUCUUCGGAUCGUAAAACUCUGUUAUUAUGGAAGAACAUAUGUGUAAGUAACUGUGCACAGCUUGACGGUACCUAAUCAGAAAGCCACGGCUAACUACGUG
rnacentral:rRNA from 1 species